rnacentral:rRNA from 1 species
GACGAACGCUGGCGGCGUGCCUAAUACAUGCAAGUAGAACGCUGAAGAGAGGAGCUUGCUCUUCUUGGAUGAGUUGCGAACGGGUGAGUAACGCGUAGGUAACCUGCCUGGUAGCGGGGGAUAACUAUUGGAAACGAUAGCUAAUACCGCAUAAAAUUGAUUAUUGCAUGAUAAUUAAUUGAAAGAUGCAACUGCAUCACUACCAGAUGGACCUGCGUUGUAUUAGCUAGUUGGUGAGGUAACGGCUCACCAAGGCGACGAUACAUGGCCGACCUGAGAGGGUGAUCGGCCACACUGGGACUGAGACACGGCCCAGACUCCUACGGGAGGCAGCAGUAGGGAAUCUUCGGCAAUGGGGGGAACCCUGACCGAGCAACGCCGCGUGAGUGAAGAAGGUUUUCGGAUCGUAAAGCUCUGUUGUAAGAGAAGAACGGGUGUGAGAGUGGAAAGUUCACACUGUGACGGUAUCUUACCAGAAAGGGACGGCUAACUACGU